CAGUUUAGAGACACCCCCUAGGGUUUUGCGACUCACCAUGCAGUUCGGAGACCCUCCCUCCAGUUCAGAGACCCUCCCUCCAGUUUAGAGACCCUCCCUCCAGUUUCUCUCGCUCUGGGAUCCCCUUCCCCCUUUCCUGAGGGCCUACUUGCCAUGGCUUCACCUGGCAAUGACUUGGGGAGGGGUGGGAUUGAGUAUCGCUUCGUUUCGUUUCUGCUUUUCGCCUGUUCCUCCAGAAUGUAAGACAAAAAUCAAGGGAGGGGAAAAUAAAAAUCUCCUGAUGCCUGCAGUUUCCCAGACCAGCGACGAUCACAAGACUGGCUUUGUGGUUUGGAGAGAGAGAGAGAGAGGAGGGGAGAGGGAUGGUGCAUGUGCAGUGCAGUACAAUCCUACAGCCUCACCUCGGUGCUCUGCGCCUCGGAACCCUUACCUGUCAGGGCGGCUAAUGAGGGCUCUCUCCCACUUCCCGCUCUGAAGGUGGUCUGUGGGAGACUGGGCGGAGGCCACAGGUGGGCCGUGUGACUCUCGGAAGACGGAUACCUUAGACGGAGGUUGGUGAUGAGGAGACGGCCAUGAGGGG